AGCGGCGAGCGAAGUGGGUAAAGCUCAAGUUUAAAACCUGUUUGUCCUAGACAAACCGGAUUGUAAACUAAGGACGUGCUAUCCAGGCUCUUUGGACCUUCAAGUCCUUUGGAAUAAGGCUUCACAGAGGGUGACAAUCCCGUAGAGGGUCUUGAAAGAGUCUAUUGCGAUGCAUGCUCCAAGAGUCAGGUUGUUUGGGAAUGCAGCCUAAAGUGGGAGGUAAAUCCCUCCUAAAGCUAAAUAUUGGCGAGAGACCGAUAGCAAACAAGUACCGUGAGGGAAAGUUGAAAAGGACUUUGAAAAGAGAGUCAAAAGUACGUGAAAUUGCUUAAAGGGAAGCGUUUGGAGCUAGUUUGGCUAGUCUGUUAUCAGCCUGAGCUUCGGCUUUGGUGUACUAUCAGGCUAUUUGCCGGCCAACUUUCAGGAUUGGAAGGAAAGCUUAGUGCUUUGGAGUCUAAAGAGACCUUUGCGGAAGCCUCUGGUGGAGCGUUGGUCUGCCUUGGCCCUUCUGAACCUAUAGU
rnacentral:rRNA from 1 species